rnacentral:rRNA from 1 species
AUUAGGUAGUUGGUGAGAUAACAGCCCACCAAGCCUACGAUGGGUAGCCGAGCUGAGAGGCUGAUCGGCCACAUUGGGACUGAAACACGGCCCAGACUCCUACGGGAGGCAGCAGUGGGGAAUAUUGGGCAAUGGAGGCAACUCUGACCCAGCAAUGCCGCGUGAGUGAUGAAGGUAAUUUUAUUGUAAAGCUCUUUUCUUUGGAACGAAUAAAUGACGGUACCAAAGGAAUAAGCCCCGGCUAACUACGUGCCAGCAGCCGCGGUAAUACGUAGGGGGCAAGCGUUGUUCGGAAUGACUGGGCGUAAAGGGUGUGUAGGUGGUUUGAUAAGUUAGAUGUGUAAUCCCAGGGCUUAACUCGGGUGCUGCAUCUAAAACUGUUAGACUUGAGUACUGGAGAGGAGAGUGGAAUUCCUAGUGUAGCGGUGGAAUGCGUAGAUAUUAGGAGGAACAUCAGUGGCGAAGGCGACUAUCUGGACAGCAACUGACACUGAGGCACGAAAGCGUGGGGAGCAAACAGGAUUAGAUACCCUGGUAGUCCACGCUGUAAACGAUG